GCUCACACCUUAGUGGGCGGGCUCUGGGCCCUGAUGGGGGGGCCGGAGCGCCGCUUGCUCCCUCAGUCAGUCGCCUCAAGUUGGCCGGGCAGGAGGGAGGAGAGGAAGGGAAGGGAGAAUCAUGGAGAAGCCCCGACGGCUUGUGGUGGUGACGGGGUUCGGCCCAUUUGGGGAACAUUCUGUCAAUGCCAGCUGGAUCGCAGUUCAGGUAGGGCUGCGAGAGGCCUCCAUGCCCGAAAGCCAUUGCUGCCCGUACGUGUGGAUGACCCUGAGCCAGAUGGGGCCAAGGAGCUGGAGAAGUUGGGUCUAGGAGAAGACGUGGAUCUGCAUGUCUACGAAAUUCCGGUUGAGUACCAGGCCGUGCAGCGGCUCAUCCCUGCCUUAUGGAAGAAGCACAACCCACAACUUGUGGUUCACGUGGGCCUGUCCGGCAUGGCCACAACAGUGACGCUGGAAAAAUGUGGCCAUAAUGUCGGCUACCGUGGCUUGGACAACUGCCGCUUCUGCCCGGGGUCCCACUGCUGCAUCGAAGGGGGCCCAGAGUGCAUUGAUUCGGUCAUUGACAUGGACGCUGUGUGCAAGAGGGUCUCCACCUUGGGGCUGGAUGUCGCUGUCACGAUAUCGAAGGACGCUGGCAGGUACCUCUGCGACUUCACGUACUACACCUCCCUGUACCACAGCCACGGCCAGUCCGCCUUCGUCCACGUGCCCCCGCUGGGCAGGCCGUACAGCGCGGAGCAGCUGGGGCGCACCCUCCAGGCCAUCAUUGAGGCGAUGCUCAGCGUCUUGAAACAUUCUGAGAGCAACAUCAAUUGCCACAAUGAACACUGAGCCCAAAGUCCUCGUCCAUUUUGCUCCCUCACUGUUGCACUUCCAAAACAAACAAAAACACAACCUCCCUGCAGAGUCCUGGCUGGGCGGAGGGGGGCACAAUAUCGGGGGUGGGUGGGCAGGAGCUGCAUAUCCCUCUCAGCAUCUGUGCGGAGGCUGGAGAACAGAAACGAAUCCCAAGGAAACGACUCUCUUGUCCUCUUUCUAUUUUCCUCCUCGCCCUUCCUCGCUUCCCGUUGUCACUGAAGCAAACAUUGUUUUGUUUUGUUUUUAAAAAUUGAUGCAGGGGCUACACGCUGAAUCGAGGCGAUUUUAACCGUGUGUCCGGGAUUGUGAUCUUGCUUCCCGGAUUAUCUAAGAACCUAGGCCUUAGCAAAUCGUUCCAGUUUGUGGGAUUUUAUUUUCAAUUUGUGUUUGACUCCAGUUUUAACAGUUUGAAAAAGGGUUUUCGAAGAGCGGGACGCCUGCCCCGUGUAAAAUCCCAUAGCUUAAAGUAGCAGGCAGCGAAUGUUCCUGUGUGGGAAGACUUUAUAACAUUUCUUGGAGAGGAUCAGAACUUUAACUCUGCCAGCGCUCCAAAACGACAGCAGGAGGGGGAGAUGACAGCACAGCCCACUUAUGUUCGGUUUUUAAAUUUUGCCAGCAAUUUCAGCCGUUGGAAUGCAUUGCCAUACUGUGCAAGGAACAGUUGUUUUGCCUGCUGUGAUUGGGUUGGUGCAGUGCGCCAGCCUUUCCCAAGUUGGCACCUUUCAGAUAUUUUGGACUCCCAACUCCUAUCACCCCCAGUAGCUGGCAUGGCCAGUUGUGAGGAGUGAUGGGAGCGGCAGUCGAGCUGUCAGGCACCAGCUUGGGGGAGGCUGCCAGACACGCAGGAGUUGCUGUCCAAUGCUGUUCCUGAAAAUGGGCUUCCUGUUGGGUGCUGUUCUCCCCAACUCUCCACUAUGCUUCAUGUAGCGUCUGUGCUGUGUCGCGCCUGCCUCUCUCUCUCUCUCUCCCUCUCAUUCAGAUUACCCCCCCCCAAAAAGGUAGGUAUUUCUGCAAGGUUUGAAAUGUGAGUUAAAGACAGGACAAGUCAGUGUGAUGCUCAUUGUGACUGCCCUGCCUUCACUACGGUGUUGAAACUGCCCAAUAUGAAAGGAAUCCGGUCAUGAGGCUACUAAUUAACUUUUAUGAAGUAAUGCAUUCUUGGAACAGAAGGGGACUUUUCUGCAAAAAAAAGAGAUGGCCCACGGGUGCGCAGCCUCACUCCAUUAUGCUGGAGACUGAUUAACCCGCCACCCUCCAAGGGGUUUCAGCCCCACACGCUCUUACUAGACUUUGUUGGGUGACUCAACUAGCUGCUCCUCUCUGUGACCCUCCAGAUGUUGCUGGACUCCCAAAUCCCAGUGUCAUCCCUGACUGUCGGCCAUGUCGGCUGCUUUGGGCCGAGGGGAGGUGGAGGACCAGCAAGACCCAGUGGUCUCCACAGUCCCUUUUUAAUGGGUGGCUUUCAGCAUGCAAAGAAUGUGCUCUGCCACUGUGUAGGACGUUGGCUUGGAUGGGGAACCUUUGUUGGACUCCGAAUGUUAUUGGACUUCCAACUCCUAUCCGCCUAACCAGGCUCCAUGCUGGGAAUUGGAAGUCCAUCAGAUGUUCCCCUUCCCUUGCCAUAAGAUGCACUCCCUUCCCUCGGGAGACAAGGGCUCUUCUAAAUGGAGGCCUCCCUCCAUCUCUCUCAUUCUGUAGAGAAUUAUGCUUCUAAAAUCUGGGAGUCCACUGUUGCUGGAGUCCCAGGUCCCAUCAUGACAGUUGGCCAUGCUGGAAUGUGGGGGUCCAACAACAUCUGAGACCCUCACCAGUGUUCUCCAGCUGUGCUCUAUGGAGCUGCCUAUUCAACAAGGCCACCCCCUCCCUGUUGCCGAGGUAGGAGAGAAGGGGGACACUCCACGUUUCAGUUCUUAACAGAUGGGACGUCAGAGAGAAACGUCAUCCGUUGUGCGGGGCCAUACUUCCUCAGCCUCUGCAGCAGGAGACAGUUUCUGCUUCAUCAGCCCCUGAACUGCCAAGCACACCUUUCAAAAUUGGUGGUGAUGCAGGCGGUGAACACUGGGAAGGGACAUCGCGCAGUGGCAGAGCCUUCUGAAAUCAUGGAAGAGUUGCUGCCCGUCAGAGUGGACAAUACUGAGCUAGAUGGACCCCUGGCCUGAGGGUACGAGGCAGCUUUCUCUGCUCCUGUUGUUUCCCCAUCUCCUCAGGAAUCCCCUACCGUUAAAGCUCCAGUGAUUGGUGCCCCCCCCAUACGUUGCUAGCUAGAAAAUGUAAUUUAUAAUCUUCCGGUUUUUGCAAACCAUUUAAGGGGGGGAGCUGUUUCUCUGAAGAGCCUGCAUUUUCGGGAGCCAGCACUUGGGGGAUGAUGAUUUGUUCCUAAAGUUGCAUUAAACUCAUUUUUUAAAUCUGUUAUAAAAUUAAA